CAUUCACUGACUUAUGCAGUGAGGGCUUGCCAUUAGAAAUUAAUAUACUCCUGCUCUUCAGAAAGAGGUCGAAAGGCAGCACUAUUGCCAUGCUGAGAAGCCAGCAAGAUGGCUCUUUUACUGCUAGUGAGCUGAGUGCUACGUGAGGGGAGGGAGAGAGAUGACACUGAAGGUAGAAGGUUCAAAGAGGGAGCCCUGUUUUGGCAAGAGUCUUUGUGGUGUCAGGGUAAAUCUAGCUCUUCUUAGCUGAGUGUUCUAUGGGAUUUUCUUGUACCGGUGUAGAUGGCUGCUUGUCUUUAUUUUGUUCAGGAACUCAAACUUGCUCAAAAACCUUACUGUAACUGUGCUUGCCUACCAGAUGCAAUCUGACUUCAGGACAUGGCUGUAUGAGUGUGUGUCAGAGUGAGUCCACCCUUGAGGAUUAGUGUAAUAUUAAUGGCAAGUGCUGUGGUCCAAGAUAUUGUGGAGCUUGAGGUGAAUGUAGUACGUUGCCAGAUAAAAUCUUCCAGACUGAUGACAUGCCUGUGAAUUGCCUGUUCUUGUCUAUAGGAAGCGAGGGAACUGGGCUUGUUUAGCUUAGAGAGGAGAAGGCUCUGGGGAGACCUCAUUGUGGCCUUCCAGUACUUGAAGGGAGCGUAUAAACAGGAGGGGGAAUGGCUGUUCAUGAGGGUGGACAGUGAUAGGACUAGGGGGAAUGGUUUUAAACUGAGACAGGGGAGGUUUGGGUUAGAUAUUAGAUCUCCUCCUAGAUAUUAGGAGGAAGUUUUUCACUCAGAGGGUGGUGACGCACUGAACAGGUUGCCCAAGGAGGCCGUGGAUGCCCCAUCCCUGCAGGCAUUCAAGGCCAGGCUGGAUGUGGCUCUGGGCAGCCUGGGCUGCUGGUUGGCGACCCUGCACAUAGCAGGGGGUUGGAACUGGAUGAGCACUGUGGGCCUUUUCAACCCAGGCCAUUCUGAUUCUAUGAUGAUUCCCCUUCCUUUGAUAAACAGGUAGAAAUUUUAAAGUCACCUUUGUAAGAACUACGAUCAGACAAGUUAAAAUCACCUCAAUGAACGUUUUUU
ensembl:lncRNA